GGGCCCGCACAAGCGGUGGAGCAUGUGGUUUAAUUCGACGCAACGCGAAGAACCUUACCAAGGCUUGACAUGGAGACGACGAAUACAGAGAUGUAUUUUCCUUUCGAGGCGUCUCACACAGGUGGUGCAUGGUUGUCGUCAGCUCGUGUCGUGAGAUGUUGGGUUAAGUCCCGCAACGAGCGCAACCCUUACUAUUAGUAGCUAUCGGAUAAAGCCGGGCACUCUAAUGGGACUGCCGUGGAUAACACGGAGGAAGGCGGGGAUGACGUCAAAUCAUCAUGCCCCUUACGUCUUGGGCUACACACGUGCUACAAUGGCUGCAACAAAGUGAAGCGAGACGGCGACGUUAAGCAAAGCACAAAAAGCAGUCCCAGUUCGGAUUGCAGUCUGCAACUCGACUGCAUGAAGUUGGAAUCGCUAGUAAUGGCAGGUCAGCAUACUG
rnacentral:rRNA from 1 species